AUUAGUUAUGAUUAUUUGAAAAAGUUUCCAAUUUAGUAUAAAGCUUCCAUUUUUGGAAAUUUCCAAAAAUAAUUUCAGAAUUUCCAAAAUUGGAAAAACUGAAACUCUCUCUCUCAAACCCGACGAAAAUGGUCUCAAAUCUUCCACCGGCCAUAUCUCCCUCCACAGACCUCCGAUCGACUUGAUUCCAAAAUUAUUUUCAUUCGUCUUGAAGUCAGUUAAAACUUCCUAGAAGACAUCAAAGUGAGAAAAGAACCAUGGAAGGCGCUAGGAGGCCGAGAAGCUGCACAGCUCGAGCUGGAAUUCGCCCGAUGCUGCUCUUCCUUCACCGGCCGAUAUCUCUCUCAUCCGACCUCAAAUCGAGUUGAUUCCAAAAGGGAUUUUGUUGGGCUUGAGCUAUAUUACAACUUUGUAGAAGACAUCGAGGGGAAAUAACCAACGUGGUAGCCGCUACAAGUCGAAGAACACGGUGCAGUCGAGCUGGAAAUCACCUCCUUUCCCCACCGUCGUUCUCCCUCCUCCGCCCACCUUUUGCCGUGAUUCUUGAGGGGAUUCUGCACUUCUGAGGAUGUAGAUCAUUUUCCCUAAGGUGCAUUGCAUCGAUUUCAUCUGUGGAGAUCGAAUUGGAACGAAUUCAAAACUAGGGUUCUUCGGGUUUCAAACCUUAUGAGGUGAUCGAUGGAUUUAUUUGGCGGACGAUUUGUGAGAUUGUUAUUUGAGCUGUUAAGAAGACGCAGCUGGAUUAGAGCGGGUAAUCCUACAGGUCAGGAAAAUCAGGAAGGUGAUCGAGCUGCGUAGAGUAGCUGCAUUUGUGUAAAUCUGACUUUCUUUUGUGAGGUGUGUUAUGCUCAUUUGAGCUACAUUUAUAUUUGGAGAGAGUGUGCUGUAAUCAAUAAACUCCUUGAGGAUUUGGUUAUGUAAUAUUGGUGGUGUGAGGUGUGUUUGUUCUGAGAAAAAAAUUCAGAACGUUAUUGUAAUAAUUAUUAUUCAUGUUUCGGAUUUGAAUUUGUUAUUCAAAAUUCGGGGCG